CCCAAACCUCGGGAACUGCCCUCUGGAUAUUUGGCAAGCCUUGAGUUUUUGUUAGAGGGGGGGUAGGAAUUCCCAGGGUGUAGCUGUGCAAAUGCGUUAGAGAUCCUGGAGGGAAUACCGGUGGCGAAAGGCGGCCCCCCUGGACGAAGACUGACGCUCGGGUGCGACAGCGUGGGUAGCAAACAGGAUUAGAUACCCUGGUGGUACACCACGUAAACGAUGUCGACUAGUAGGUUGUUCCCCCGGGCGGAGCUUCCUCCGGAAACAACUUAAUUUGUCGGCCGCGGGGGGAGUGCGGCAGCGAGGAUAAAACUCAAAUAAAUUGACGGGGGCCCCCACAAGCGGUGGAGCAUGUGGUUUAAUUCGAUGCAACGCGAAGAACCUUACCUGGUCUUGACAUCCACGGAAGUUUUCAGAGAUGGGAAGGUGCCUUCGGGAACCGUGAGACAGGUGCUGCAUGGCUGUCGUCAGCUCGUGUUGUGAAAUGUUGGGUUAAGUCCCGCAACGAGCGCAACCCUUAUCCUUUGUUGCCAGCGGUCCGGCCGGGAACUCAAAGGAGACUGCCAGUGAUAAACUGGAGGAAGGUGGGGAUGACGUCAAGUCAUCAUGGCCCUUACGACCAGGGCUACACACGUGCUACAAUGGCGCAUACAAAGAGAAGCGACCUCGCGAGAGCAAGCGGACCUCAUAAAGUGCGUCGUAGUCCGGAUUGGAGUCUGCAACUCGACUCCAUGAAGUCGGAAUCGCUAGUAAUCGUGGAUCAGAAUGCCACGGUGAAUACGUUCCCGGGCCUUGUACACACCGCCCGUCACACCAUGGGAGUGGGUUGCUAAAAGAAGUAGGUAGCUU
rnacentral:rRNA from 1 species